rnacentral:rRNA from 1 species
CCUACGGGGUGCAGCAGUGAGGAAUAUUGGUCAAUGGUCGGGAGGCUGAACCAGCCAAGUCGCGUGAGGGAAGACGGCCCUACGGGUUGUAAACCUCUUUUGUCAGGGAGCAAGGUGCAGGUCGGGACCUGCUGUGAGAGUAACUGAAGAAAAAGCAUCGGCUAACUCCGUGCCAGCAGCCGGGGUAAUCAGGAGGAUGCGAGCGUUAUCCGGAUUUAGUGGGGUUAAAGGGUGCGCAGGCGGAGGCACAAGUCAGCGGGAAAAUCGCGGGGCUCAAACCCGCUGCGCCGUUGAAACUGUGUCCCUGGAGUGCGCGAAGGGUAGGCGGAAUGCGUGGUGUAGCGGUGAAAUGCAUAGAUAUCACGCAGAACUCCGAUCGCGAAGGCAGCCUACCGGCGCGCAACUGACGCUCAUGCACGAAAGCGUGGGUAUCGAACAGGAUUAGAUACCCGUGUAGUC